rnacentral:rRNA from 1 species
CAGAUCAUGUGAUCUGACUGUUGUAAGGUAGCAAAAUAAUUUGCUUUUUUAUUGAAAGCCAGAAUAAACGAAAUGACGAGAAGAAAACUGUCUUCGGUUUUAACAAUAAAAUUUUCUAAAAAAGUAAAAAAGCUUUUACUCUCUAGAGGGACGACAAGACCCUAAAAUCUUUUUAAUCAAUCUGUUAAUAUUUUCAGUGAGUCCUUUUAUCUGGUCGACUAAAUUACUGGGGCGGUAAAAAUCAAAACAACGACUUUGCCUACACACGUAAUGUACGGAAUUUUCAAACCUCUCAAGAACACAAAAAGAUACUUUAGGGAUAACAGCGUAAUUUUUCUCAAGAGUCCCUAUCGACAGAAUUGCUUACGACCUCGAUGUUGAAUUGAGUUCCACCUUCUCGG